GAUCAUGGCUCAGAUUGAACGCUGGCGGCAGGCCUAACACAUGCAAGUCGAACGGUAACAGGAAGAAGCUUGCUUCUUUGCUGACGAGUGGCGGACGGGUGAGUAAUGUCUGGGAAACUGCCUGAUGGAGGGGGAUAACUACUGAAAACGGUAGCUAAUACCGCAUAACGUCGCAAGACCAAAGAGGGGGGACCUUCGGGCCUCUUGCCAUCGGAUGUGCCCAGAUGGGAUUAGCUCGUUGGG
rnacentral:rRNA from 1 species